UAGGGAAUCUUCGGCAAUGGACGAAAGUCUGACCGAGCAACGCCGCGUGAGUGAAGAAGGUUUUCGGAUCGUAAACUCUGUUGGUAGAGAAGAACGUUGGUGAGAGUGGAAAGCUCAUCAAGUGACGGUAACUACCCAGAAAGGGACGGCUAACUACGUGUCAG
rnacentral:rRNA from 1 species